AGGGUGUAAUAAAGUAACAACAGAGAAGGUUUUAGCAAGCAGGUGCUGAAAGAACUUCAAAAGGUUUAUCAAGACUUCUCAGUGCUUGCCAAACAAGUGUCAAAGAGUGAAUGGCAAGAAUGGCUUUAAAGAACGGAGAAGACGUGUUUUAUUGCACUUAGUUUUAAGCUUCUGUUUGAUAUUUUACCACUACGAUAGAGUUAUGUAAAUUUAUGUUAUGUAUUGUUCUAAUGUAUCAAUCUGUUUUGUAAUUACACUUUUUUAAAUAUGUUGUUAUUGUUUUUAUACCUUUUCCUACUAUUAAAGGUUUUUAUUAAGCCUUA